GGGGACUUAGCUCAGCUGGGAGAGCACCUGCCUUGCACGCAGGGGGUCAGCGGUUCGAUCCCGCUAGUCUCCACCA
rnacentral:tRNA from 9 species